UGAGUUGAUUAGAAGCUCGCUGUGAGAUAAAGCUAAUUAGUCUUUCUCUAAGCCACAUCAUAAUAGCUUUUGAAUGGCUAGCCUUGCCCUGACCUCUGGAAACACAUCAAAAUGCACAGGGAUCCCUCCACUGACCUAUAGGAGGAAAGCCAGUGCAAAUGAAGAGAUGUACUGUCAGCCCUCAUGACACUUGUGAACAUUUUCCUGUAGCAAGGUGGAACCACAGGGCCCAAAAUGGUGGCUUGCAGGUUUCCCUUGCUCGACUCUACCUGUUGUUCUCGGUGAAGAGUUGAAUGAAAGGUGCAACGGUACUGUGUAUUUCUAAGAACAUUUUGUUUAACAUUUGAG